GACGAACGCUGGCGGCGUGCCUAAUACAUGCAAGUAGAACGCACAGUUUAUACCGUAGCUUGCUACACCAUAGACUGUGAGUUGCGAACGGGUGAGUAACGCGUAGGUAACCUGCCUGGUAGCGGGGGAUAACUAUUGGAAACGAUAGCUAAUACCGCAUCAUAUUGAUUAUUGCAUGAUAAUUGAUUGAAAGAUGCUAUUGCAUCACUACCAGAUGGACCUGCGUUGUAUUAGCUAGUAGGUGAGGUAACGGCCCACCUAGGCGACGAUACAUAGCCGACCUGGGAGGGUGAUCGGCCAACAUGGGACUGGGACACGGCCCAGACCCCCACGGGAGGCAGCAGUAGGGAAUCUUCGGCAAUGGAGGAAAGUCUGACCGAGCAACGCCGCGUGAGGGAAGGAGGUUUUCGGAUCGUAAAGCUCUGUUGUAAGAGAAGAACGGGUGUGAGAGUGGAAAGUUCACACUGUGACGGUAUCUUACCAGAAAGGGACGGCUAACUACGUG
rnacentral:rRNA from 1 species